rnacentral:rRNA from 1 species
UACGGAGGGUGCGAGCGUUGUUCGGAAUCACUGGGCGUAAAGGGCGCGUAGGCGGCCUGAUAAGUAGGGGGUGAAAUCCUGCGGCUUAACCGCAGGGCUGCCUUCUAAACUGUCAGGCUUGAGCACAGUAGAGGCAGGUGGAAUUCCCGGUGUAGCGGUGGAAUGCGUAGAGAUCGGGAAGAACAUCAGUGGCGAAGGCGGCCUGCUGGGCUGUUGCUGACGCUGAGGCGCGACAGCGUGGGGAGCAAACAGG